rnacentral:sRNA from 1 species
CUGACAGCCCUGGAGACUGAAGUUCUCUGUCUACCCACAAAACAGUUACAGUGCAAACAGCUACCGUUCAAUCUUCCUCAGACUGCUUUGCCAAUACUCCUUAACUCUAACACGAAGGGAGCACCAAUAAGAGAGGGUGUUUCAGCCUGCACAUCCAUUCAGUCUUUGGAUUUU